CCGCCACCGUAUUUCCUCCACCGUCACUGUAUUUCUUCCACCGCCGUAAGUUCCGCCGCUGUAUAAAUCAAUCUAAUUAGGUCCGUUCUAUUUGCUAUAUAUUAUUUAGCAAAUUAAUAAAUGUAUUGCAGUGUAUUUGUUUGAAAUAAAAAAGCUUCAAUUAAUCCUUUUUUUAUUUAUAAAUUUAGUAAUAAAUGGCGCAUAGGUUGCUGAGAGAUGCAGAAGCAGAUGGAUGGGAACGAUCUGAUUUUCCGAUUAUUUGUGAGUCUUGUCUUGGAGAUAGUCCUUACGUACGAAUGGUAAUAUUUUUAACUUUUUCUUUCCGUUAAUUUUUCCUUUAUUGAGUUUAAGUUCUAUCACGGUGGAAUUGAUCCCUCUUUUUUUGUUAGUGAGGUGGAAUCUAGCAACUUAUUUUGUGCUAAAUUUCUCCCAAUUUAUUGAGCUUCUCCAUCCAAAUCUAGUUGAUUUUGGUUUUAAAAGGUCACCUUUUUGUUAUUUUCUUCCUAUGCAUCGGAAGGUAUUUUACAUUUAUACCACCAACUGAGACAAAACAACAUCUGCCUAAGCCUUCGUAGGCAGGUAACUACUGUGUGCUAGUGGAGGUAGUACCUGGUGGAAUAGGCGAGGUGCGCGCAAGCUGGCCCGACAAUACCGUCCCAAAAAAAGAAGAGAUAAAACAGUGUGCUAGCAGGGAGGACACUGGCAUGAAAGCUGGACAUAAUUUGAGGCCUAGGGUGUGUUUGGUACGAAGUAAAAUAUUUUUCAAUUUUCUCAUGUUUGGUUGACUUAAAUGUUUUGGAAAACAUUUUCCUCAUGAACUAAUUGGAUUUUCAAAACUCUUUUUCAACCUUCUCCACCCUAUUCCCCAUCCCCACUCACCCCAUCCAUCCCACACCCACUCACCCCAUCCAUCCCCACUCACCCCAUCCAUCCCACACCCACUCACCCCAUCCAUCCCCACUCACCCCAUCCAUCCCCACUCACCCCAUCCACUCACCAACCAAACGAGGAAAAUAAGUGAUAAAAUCACUCAUUUUUCAUAAAAAAUAAUUUCCUUCGUACCAAACACACCCCUAGUCUUCCCAGGUUCUCCCUAAUCGCUUGGGCAAGGUGGCAAAAAGAUUAAAGAGAAAAAGCUUAACUUUGGUAAACACAAACUAAUGUUUGAAAAAUAACUUGCUGAAGUUAUCUUCUUUUUUCUUUGUAUUUUUUGUGGUAACCAAGAAAUCCGUUGUGUCUACUUCGACAUUCUAUGGAUAAUGGGCUUGCCCUCUACCCUUUUCCACUUAAAUACUAGACCUGGUUCACAAUCAAGGAUUCAAACUCGUGACGUGCACCUACCACACAUCCUGUUUUGUACUAACUUGAGGAAGUUAUCUGUCUUAAUUUUUGAUAAAUGUAGCAUUAUUACCUUGAUAUAAUAUCCAGCAGUGCAUUUCUGUGUCUUUGGGAUUUCAUAUAUCAGGAAUCAGGGUUGCAGAGAACUAAGUUUCCGUCAGCAGUUUUAUUGAUGAUGGAACAAUUUGUUACUCACAGAAGGAUUUGCAUUUCUACUGGGUAAAACUAAAAUAAGCAGGGCAGCUUUAUUCAAAUAAGGAACUAGAAAGUGUAGCUUUUGACAUCAAAUCGAACUUUAAAGGUCAUAGCGUCGUUCUUUUAUUCACAGUGGCCCAAGGGAUUCUCAUAUGCCUCAUUUUUUCACUGAAGUGAUUAUAACGUGUGAGGAAGCUGGCUGCUCAUAUUUAAUAGAGACAACGAGUUAACUUAUUUUCCUUAAGUCAUAGGGGAAGAACGAGUGAUCUUAUUUUCAUAGAGGAAAAGGUUGCUGACCCUCACUAUAGUCCUUGUAUAAUGAUUAUUGAUUGAGGUUAUAUACUUCCUUGGAUCACGUUAUUAACAUAAUAGAUUCUAAAUUCAGUUUACAUGAUGUUAACCAAGGACAACUUUUCCAAAUUUAAAGUUGUAUCCUGCCUUAUUGCUUCUACUAGCCUUUCUAUUGUCAAAAGGGCCUUCUUCAUACAAGUAAUAGUGAUUAAUCUUAGUUUUAUGACGUGGUUACUGCUGCCCCCUUAUUGUCAAUUCACCUUUUCCUUUCCAUGCUUAAGUAUUGAUUAUUUUGAUCUUGCCAUUGUUUCCUUACAGACAAAAGCAGAUUAUGACAAGGAGUGCAAGAUAUGCACACGACCCUUCACAGUGUUCAGAUGGAGGCCUGGUCGGGAUGCAAGAUACAAAAAAUCUGAGAUCUGUCAGACCUGCAGCAAGUUGAAGAAUGUUUGUCAAGUUUGUCUUUUGGAUCUUGAGUAUGGUUUGCCAGUUCAGGUCCGAGACACUGCUCUCAGUAUCAAUUCGAAUGAUGCAAUUCCCAAGAGUGACGUUAAUAGAGAAUAUUUUGCGGAGGAGCAUGACCGCAGGGUAUGUGAAGUUUCAACCGGAAGCUUAUUUUUUGUUAUAACAUGCAUGUGUGCACCACCUGCAUAUUCACAGUUUACAUGCAUAAAAAGAUCAUACUUUUGUUCAAGCAUUUGUCCUUCACUUUGUCUUUUAUUAUUGUUCCUCUCUCUCUCUCUCUCUCCCCCACCCCUUCAUAUACUGUUUACUACUGAAGACAUCUGCUUGUUCCUAUACUAUCAGUGAACAAAUAUUUACUGGUGACUUUGAGGGUGCAAAAGUGGAUUAGCCUAUUUGAGAAUUUGCUGAAUCUUUGAGCCGAAAUUUUCUUUUAGCCCAGAAGUGAUUUAUUGGGGUUGUGUUAUUAUUGGGUUUUCUUCCUUCCUUCACCCCUAGGGAGGAGUACAUCAUUUGCUUCAGCCAAAACUGUUGUAUGCUAAUCACUCAGGAUUUUCUAAUUUUUUCUGUCGACUUACAAAUCUUUCUGACCAGGCGAGAGCAGGGAUAGAUUACGAAUCUUCAUAUGGGAAAGCUCGUCCAAAUGACACUAUUUUGAAGCUCCAAAGAACAACUCCAUACUACAAGAGGAAUCGGGCACAUGUUUGUAGUUUCUUUAUACGUGGUCAAUGUACAAGAGGUUUGGAGUGCCCUUAUAGGCAUGAAAUGCCUGAGACUGGGGAGUUGUCACAGCAAAACAUUAAGGACCGUUAUUACGGGUAUGUGCAACCUAAUCUUUAUCCUGUCAAUUUGAAUGCUAUUCGUUUUCUUUUUCAAUGUUCGUUUGACUCUGGAUAUGUCUACUCCGCAUGUAGGUUUUCUGUUUUGUAGUAGAAGUAGACAUAAUAUUGACAUUUAAUCUCCUGGUGUCAACCGUUGAUAUGUGCCUUUUAAAUAUUGGCUGUUUAGAGUAUAUUCCCUUGUAACUUUGGUGGUCUAUUCCUUUUUGACUGUACUAUAUUCAUCCCAGUGAACACCCAAUAAAAAUAAAAUAGCUUUUUCAAAUCCUCGCACUCUUCCCAACCAUGGAGUUUAAAAAGAAAAUAAAGGUUUUGCUUGUUCAUACUUUUUGUUGAGGACUGUGUUGCAUAAUAUUUUCUGAAAUAAACAAAAUAUUUUUUCCUAAAACCUCGUCCAAUGUUAAUUUAUACUAUAUUAAAGCACGAAGGCCCUUAGAGAAAUGUCGUUCGCCCUUUUUACCCUUUUAAAAUAGAGUUCACACUAGAUAAAAUAGUCUUUUAAUUAUUUCCCUAUUAUUGAGGAAUAGUCACUUAACUUUUUUCUAAUAUUUAAAAAUAAUUAUUUAAUUAUAUUCCUAAUAUUUAGGACUUUAAUUUUCAAUUCUUUCCUUUUCUAUAAUUCAUACACUUUCAACUCCAUUUAAAUUUAAGAAUAUUAAAUACAAACUAGGAAAGUUUCCACAACUUUCAAUUUAGGAGUAUUUUUUCUUCUAAUUUUUGUAGACCGUUUGCCUUUUCUUUUAUUAGAAUAUCUUUGAGCUUAGUACUAAAUCUUUUCAAAAGAUAUAAUUUUAGGAGUACAAAUUAGCUGACUAAGUAAUAUUAAUGCAUAUACCAUUUUAUACGUGAAAACAAAAUAGUAAAAACAAAAUGAGGUUACAAUUGGCCGAAAAAUUGUUUAUGUAUGUUUAUGGAAGUAAAAAAUAAAUACAACAGAAUAUAAGGAAUCAUAAAAAAUAAAAAUAAAAAAGCAAAAUAUUUUUUCUGAAAUUUUGCCAGAAAAAUAUUUUUAGAAAAAACAAACAAUUAAAUUAUUUUUUUGGAUUAAAUUGGACUUACUUUUAAAAAGUCGUUAUUUGAAAGAGAACUGAUUAUAGACACAUAAGAAAUUUAAAACGCUACAUAUAUGGAAAUUGAUGAAAAGAAUAAAUUCUAAUUCUGAUCUUAACUUGAAUUUCAUAUUCUAACUCCUUCCAAGAAGUAUGAACAUAGUCCUUUCAUAAUCAAACAAUUGCAAGUAAUACUACUGCAAUCAUAUACUCUUGCUUUCCAUAGAAAACAACAUUUGGAUGCAUCCAAAUGAAAAAUCUAUUAACAAAAAAAUAAUAAUCUAGGAUGCAUGAUUAUGUAUUUAGACAAAGAAAGAAUUGUAGAUUAACCAUACUGUAGUGGUUGAUUUAAUUUAUUUUUGCAAUAAUAAUUUAUUCUUUUCUAAUAUGUUGGAACAAUUCCUAUGUAGUAUUUAUUAAAGCAAUAGAACAAUUUGCAUUUUGAUAGAGAGAAAAAGAUGUCUUUGUAAGUUAGUCGAUCAUAUUUUUGUUUUUUUAAGAAUGAAUUUAAAACUAUAGCGCGUACUCUAAUACUAGUAUCUAAUAGACAAGUAAUCUAACAAUCUAAAAUCAAAUAAUAAGUAAUAGUUAAGGUUCUAUUUGUACUAGGAACAAAAGGGACAUACAAGAUGGAUGGAAAGAGUUUUGAUAAUUGGCUUAAUCAGGGAAACUACAGAUAGAAAAGAAUAUACCUAUCCUAUGGAUCCGUCAUCCAAGGAAUGAGCUUCUCUAGAGGCAAAUCCUGUGGAAUGCACUCGGCAACAGCAGCUGAUUCAACAGCCAUGCUGGCCUUUUCCUUUUGUUUUAAUCCUUUGCUAGUUUUGAACAAAUGGAGAUGAAAGUAGUUGCUUGAUGACACACGUGGUUAAGGACUAUGUUGCCUUGAAUUUGAUGAUGCAUAGCUGAACUUGUACGUGCACCUCAAUAUAGUCUCGAGACUAAGCCACAUUUUUUCCUAAUUUUUAAUGUUAUCACAACAAAUAUCUCUGUCCAUGUAAAUGACCAUUCACAUUCUCAGUUGAGAAGAUUUCAUAGUGAAAAAUCAGAGACAUUUUAACCUUAAUUUGCUCGCCUAUUAGUCAUAUCCUCGCAUCAGUGUUGAUGAUUUUUUCAUUUAUUUAUCAAAAUCAGUGCUAAUGAUCUUUUAGUUUCUUUAUUUCCUAAAUAAGAAACCUUCGGAAAAUCAGACACCUCAAUAAACAUCCAUAUCUGGCACCCUUAACGAGUCUAGGUAGCAUUCAUGUCGAGUAUAUCAGAGAAGGUGGGACUAGCAAGGUCGCCCUAACACCAUAGUUCGCCUUCUAGAUUAAGUUAGGCAAGAUUGGAAGGAUCCAUUUCUUCUCAUACUCUAAGCAGCUAAUGCCACACCAUUUUACGUCUUUGAAAUAUCCACCUGUUCUUGUCUCUUUAGGUUCACAUCGUGACUAGAUAUUAACAUCUUGUUGAAUGUUCUCUUUCCUGAAGAUUUAUUGUCCUAAUGAUCUUCAUUAACUUAAAAGAGCUAUAUUACUAUCUUAUUCAUGUUUUUUGGCUUAUGUUGUGGCUCAAGAAGUGUUUUCAUUAUGUUACCUGCAAUGCUUGCAGAGUUAAUGAUCCCGUGGCUAUGAAGCUACUGAAUAAGGCAGGUGAAAUGCCUUCAUUGGAGCCCCCAGAUGAUGAGAGCAUUAGAACCCUCUAUGUGGGUGGUGUUGAUGCAAGAAUCAGCGAGCAGGAUCUAAGGGACCACUUUUAUGCACAUGGAGAAAUCGAGUCCAUUAAAAUGGUGUUGCAGCGUGGUUGUGCUUUUGUAACCUACACGACAAGAGAAGGUGCAGAGAAGGCGGCCGAGGAACUAGCGAACAGGCUAGUGAUAAAAGGCUUGAGACUGAAACUUCUCUGGGGGAGACCACAAGCUCCUAAACCAGAGACCGAGCUGUCUGAUGAAGCAAGACAGCAGGCUGCUGUGUCACACAGUGGAUUGUUGCCCAGAGCUGUCAUAUCACAACAGCAGAAUCAGCUUCCUCCACCCCCAGGCACACAGGAACAACCCCCACCGAUGCCAUACUUCAACAUUCCGCCAAUGCCUCAGCAAGAAAGAGCAUAUUAUCCGUCAAUGGAUCCUCAGAGGAUGGGUGCUGUAGUUCCAUCUCAGGAGGGGGCUUCUAGUUCAGCUACGGGGUCAGGUCCUGAAAACAAGAGUGGUUCUGAGAAACAACCACAAGUACAGCAGCAUUAUGCGUAUCCACCAGCACCUCCACCUCAAGGUCAAUUUUACCCGCCUUACUAUCCACCCUAUGGCUAUAUGCCUCCACCACUGCCUCAACAUUAUCAGCAGUAUCCCCCGCCUUAUCAAGCUGCCAGACCUCCACCACCUCCUGCUGGUGAGCAAGCAGCUUAUCAGCAGAAGCCUCAACCAGCAGUACCGGCAGCACAGCAACCUUAAUUCAGUUUUGUCCAGCUGCUCCGAUCAAGAAGAAUCUAUGUAAACUGACGUUUUAUAUUUUCAGUACUGCAAAAGAAUUAUUACUAUGCGAGCCAUUUGAAUUGAGUAUUUGAUUCUGUUUUGCCAAUGCAAAUUUCUAUUGUAUUAGGUGCCUCUGUUGCAGUCGUUCAUUUCUCUUCAAGCUUUGAUUCAUUCUCUCUAUACUCUUGUCUCCUUCAGCCUUAGAACCGAGA
rnacentral:lncRNA from 1 species